AUUGAACGCUGGCGGCAGGCCUAACACAUGCAAGUAGAGCGAGCGGCGGACGGGUGAGUAAUGUCUGGGAAACUGCCUGAUGGAGGGGGAUAACUACUGGAAACGGUAGCUAAUACCGCAUACCAUCAGAUGAGCCCAGAUGGGAUUAGCUAGUAGGUGGGGUAACGGCUCACCUAGGCGAAGAUCCCUACCUGGUCUGAGAGGAUUACCAGCCACACUGGAACUGGGACACGGUCGAGACUCCUACGCAAGGCAGCAGAGGGGAAUAUUGCACAAUAGGCGCAAGCCUGAUGCAGCCAGGCCACGUGGGUGAAGAAGGCCUUCGGGUUGUAAAGCACUUUCAGCGGGGAGGCGUUACCCGCAGAAGAAGCACCGGCUGACUCCGUGCCUGCGGCCGCGGUGAUUC
rnacentral:rRNA from 1 species